CUGCACUUUGAGGAGCAUUCGUGUGAAAAAUUCUAUGGGAAAUUAUCUCUGACUCUUGACUCUGCAUGAUUCUAUGUAAUUGUCAGGAGAAUUAGAAACAUUGCUUCCACAUGUGCUCCUGCAGACCCAACAUCUCUGACAAAGAAGCCCAGCUUGUUUUCUCUUGAUCGUUUCCACUUCUGAGCUAUUCACACUGCAAUAUAAAUGAUUAAUAUCAAAUUAAUCCUCAAUAUGGAAAAGAGAACAUCAAAAUGUCAGGAAACGUCAUGGAGCAAGGUGUGGCAGAUAAUCUCUGGGACCCUGCAAGUAUAACAAUACUAAGGAUUUAAACUGAAGAGCACAGAGUCAUCUUCUACAAGUAGCUCACAAUGUAAUGGCCUUCCACAACAGAAUUUGCUUUAAAUUGUUUUCUUCCCUAGGGCCCUCAUUACAG
rnacentral:lncRNA from 1 species